rnacentral:rRNA from 1 species
UACGUAGGGUGCAAGCGUUGUCCGGAAUUAUUGGGCGUAAAGAGCUCGUAGGCGGUUUGUCGCGUCGACUGUGAAAACCCGGGGCUCAACCCCGGGCCUGCAUUCGAUACGGGCAGACUAGAGUUCGGUAGGGGAGUCUGGAAUUCCUGGUGUAGCGGUGAAAUGCGCAGAUAUCAGGAGGAACACCGAUGGCGAAGGCAGUGGUCUGGGCCGAUACUGACGCUGAGGAGCGAAAGCGUGGGGAGCGAACAGG